CCCUAAGUUAAUUCCCCCACUUCAGACACAAAAGACUCCCGCAGUCACCCCUUCUUCAAAAAAAAAAAAACAGCCACACCUAAAAUCAGCCGCACCUCCCAAAUAUAGAGAGAUCUCCAUCGUCACUCUCUCUGAAAAAAAGAAAAGUUGUAGUUUGGUGAUGAUAUUUUCAGCAAGUUAAAAAAAAAACAUUGUGAGUCGAAUUUUAGCAGAUCGGCAAAACCAGAACAUCUCUAUACAAAAGUUCAGGUUCGAACACCACCAGAUUUCGGCCUGAAACUGUUCAGAUUUAGCCGGUCUUGCGAUUUUCCGACGACUCGAGUUUCAAUUUUCUGUUCGAGGUUGCGUUGCCGGUCCGGGGUUCCAGUUAAUACCUCGUUUGAGCGUUGCUAUUUCUUUGGUGCUAGCUUGCUUUGUAUGCAGCAAAAAGAUUAUCAUACAAUAGAAGUUCAAACAUUCGAAGGCAAACCGACGACAAAUACUACGUUAAUAUUCGGCCAAAAAUUGUGUAUGACGUGAAGUUUUCUCAUACUUUAGAGAUCUGAAUAUAUAUUUUUAUGUGUA